rnacentral:tRNA from 1 species
GAGGGUGUAGCUCAGGGGUAGAGUGUGUGCUUGGUGUGCAUGAGGUUCUAGGUUCAAUCCCCAGCCCCUCCA